GAUGAACACUAGCGGGAGGCCUAACACAUGCAAGCCGAGCGGUAUUGUUUCUUCGGAAAUGAGAGAGCGGCGUACGGGUGCGUAACACGUGUGCAACCUGCCUUUAUCUGGGGGAUAGCCUUUCGAAAGGAAGAUUAAUACUCCAUAACAUAUUGAACGGCAUCGUUUAAUAUUUAAAGCUCCGGCGGAUAGAGAUGGGCACGAGCAAGAUUAGCUAGUUGGUGAGGUAACGGCUCACCAAGGCGAUGAUCUUUAGGGGGCCUGAGAGGGUGAUCCCCCACACUGGUACUGAGACCCGGACCAGCCUCCUACGGGAGGCAGCAGUGAGGAAUAUUGGUCAAUGGGUGCAAGCCUGAACCAGCCAUCCCGCGUGAAGGACGACUGCCCUAUGGGUUGUAAACUUCUUUUGUAUAGGGAUAAACCUACCCUCGUGAGGGUAGCUGAAGGUACUAUACGAAUAAGCACCGGCUAACUCCGUGCCAGCCGCCGCGGUAACAC
rnacentral:rRNA from 1 species